AGGAAGGAGGGCGCUACCGCCAUGGUGGCGGCAGGGCUUCCGCCUGCGGAGGUCAUUGCGCGGGAAGAGCCGCGUUUUGUGGUGCUUGGCUGAGGCGGGAAGUCAGGAAGACGGACCCGUGUGGCCCAGGGCAGCGAGCGGGGCCUCGCACCGUCUUUGGGUCCCUCGGCGGCAGGGCCCACCUCCAGGGUUAGUGUCUUCCGCCUCCUGACGCUCCUCGCCCGGCUCGUCUGCCUGGGCUUCACAAGCAUCAGGAAGAUCCAUGGCUUGUUUUAGCCUUUUAAACCUAAAAAACCCAGCCCUGCCAUGGUGGGGGUGGAAGAACGCAUGAACAAGAGUCAUGUCUGUGGCGCUGCUUGUACCCGAAGGGUGCGCAUCCCAUGGAGACAAGGGCAGGGGCUUGGGGGUCUUCUGCCUGCACCACCCUAGAGACACCUGUGAAACUUUGAGGGUUGCCUGCAUGAAGUCAUGCAAACAGCCCCAGUGCUGAUGUUUGUCAGGGGAAAGAGCAGGUGCAAAGCUCAAGGCUGAGAUACUACACACGUAGCUGGUCUAUGAAAAUUCUUGACAUGGUUAUUUGCACACUUGUCUGGUAGCCCUGUUUGCUGAAGCUGUUCUUCUAAAAGCUAUUUUUGUGCCUGUUUUGUCACCCUUGGCGGUCUUUCUUUAGUUUUCUCUCGAGCUUGUUCUUGAUCAGUGCAGGACGGGUGCUUCAGCAGUAAUGUGGGGGUGCCUGCUUGCAACAUUCCCUACGCUUCCCUUGUUCCUACAAAUAGGCUGGGUAUAAACAUGGCCGUAACAGGGAGGGAUGCACAAUGCUGUGUGGUGGGACUUGGAUAGCUGCCUUCUUUGGGGAUCGUUUGAAAAUCCCUGCCAAAAUCUUCUGUUUCCUUCAGAUUUCUCUGCUUAAAGCAUUUAACUGCUGUGAUACAAACCUUUUCCAUGUGAGCUGUCCAAGUCUGCUCGGAGGAAAACAGUCUUCUCUCCUUAUCUCACCGGUAUCUGUGGGAAGGAAGACUGAGGUACAGCAACUUUGGAAAACAAAUAUAGGACACUUGAGGGCAGAACGGCUUCAAAAUGUAAAUGGAAAGCAGAUUCAUAAGCUGAAAUCCAGAAAUCUUGGAUUUCUUUAUGAAGUAUUUUGGGACUUGUGGCUCUUGAAAAGCACAGUAAAAUAAACAGUGGAUUAAAUGAAGCAAAGCCAUGCAAUUCUACUUGAGGGAGCUCCAAAGUGGAACAAAUAGAGUGUUUUUUGGCACCUCUA